AGAGAUCGAGACAGAUCCCACAUCAUAUUUUGCCUUCGUAGAGGUCGGACGUACGAGCUACAGAACCCAACCGAGAUGUCUGCCAAAGGAGGACACCAGAAGAAGUGCCCAGAUCCAUGUCCAGAUCCAUGCCCACCACCACAGAAAUGCCAAGAUCCUUGCAAGCCUGAGCCAAAAUGCCCGGAACCGGUUCAGAAAUGCCCUCCUCCAGAUCCCUGCAAGCCUACCCCACAAUGUCAACAACAAAAGUGAAGACGGCAAACGGCUAGCGUAAAAACAAUGAAAUUGUUUUGCAAAUUAUGUUAAUUACCUGCUUGAUUAUCACUAUUCUGUAAAAUAUUGUAAACGACGCGUGAUCACUGCAAAAAACAACCUGCUCAGCUAAGCACGGUUUGUCAAAUGCCUGACGCAGUCCUAUCUAAAAUGAUUAAAUUUAUCUUCUGAGAAAGCA